CAAGUCUUGACAUCCCUCUGAAUCCUCUAGAGAUAGAGGCGGCCUUCGGGACAGAGGUGACAGGUGGUGCAUGGUUGUCGUCAGCUCGUGUCGUGAGAUGUUGGGUUAAGUCCCGCAACGAGCGCAACCCUUGAUUUUAGUUGCCAGCACUUUGGGUGGGCACUCUAGAAUGACUGCCGGUGACAAACCGGAGGAAGGCGGGGAUGACGUCAAAUCAUCAUGCCCCUUAUGACUUGGGCUACACACGUACUACAAUGGCUGGUACAACGGGAAGCGAAGCCGCGAGGUGGAGCCAAUCCUAUAAAAGCCAGUCUCAGUUCGGAUUGCAGGCUGCAACUCGCCUGCAUGAAGUCGGAAUUGCUAGUAAUCGCGGAUCAGCAUGCCGCGGUGAAUACGUUCCC
rnacentral:rRNA from 1 species